rnacentral:tmRNA from 1 species
GGGGGUGUCAAGGUUUCGACUUGGAAAUAAAGUAUGGGUGGCAUGUAGAGGACAAUCGUUGGCCUCUUAAAAUAUCCGAUUAAAUUAGAAAAGACAACUCUCAACAAGAGUUUGAACUCGCAGCUUAAUCGCUGCGAAUUCACGGUAGCCUGGGAUCUGACCUAGAGUUCCAGAUGUUCUACUGUUAUAUAUCUUGGUAUGAACCCCUCGUUCUUGAGUGAUCUUGAAGGGAGUUCGAGACCCAAUUGGAAAACUCGUAGAGCCUCAAGUAGUGCGCUUAAUAGCAAGGCUUCCUAAAAACCCUAAGCGCUAAGCAUGUAGUCAUCCAUAUAGAGUUUGCUAAGGACGAGAGUUCGAUUCUCUCCACCUCCAAAA